rnacentral:rRNA from 1 species
UACAUAGGGUGCAAGCGUUGUCCGGAAUUAUUGGGCGUAAAGAGCUCGUAGGUGGUUCGAUACGGUCGGAUGUGAAAAUCAGGGGCUCAACCCCUGACCUGCAUCCGAUACGGUCGAGCUAGAGUUUGGUAGGGGAGACUGGAAUUCCUGGUGUAGCGGUGGAAUGCGCAGAUAUCAGGAGGAACACCGAUGGCGAAGGCAGGUCUCUGGGCCAAUACUGACACUGAGGAGCGAAAGCGUGGGGAGCGAACAGG